CAGUAGCCGCGGUAAAACCAGCACCUCGAGUGGUCAGGAGGUUUAUUGGGCCUAAAGCAUCCGUAGCCGGUUGUUUAAGUUUUCGGUUAAAUCUAUGCGCUUAACGUAUAGGCUGCCGAAAAUACUGGACAGCUAGGGAGUGGGAGAGGUACACGGUACUCAAUAGGAAGGGGUAAAAUCCUUUGAUCUGUUGAUGACCACCUGUGGCGAAGGCGGUGUACCAGAACACGUUCGACGGUGAGGGAUGAAAGCUGGGGGAGCAAACCGGAUUAGAUACCCCCGUAGUCCCUGUCUCUUAUAC
rnacentral:rRNA from 1 species